CCACCCAUGAGACCAAAGAAAGAGUUACAGCUAUCUGCCUGUGAGCUGCUCAAGGCCAGGCACUAAGGUAAAGGUCCCAGUGUGAACCUGAACCAGGCCUGGACCAGCCAGGGCAAUAAAUCUAUCUGUCCUUGCUAUGAGAUACAGCAGACAGACUGCAGUCCUAGACAGUAAGGCACGUCUGAAACCCAUAUUGGCCCGAUACUGACUGGCAAACACACUCCGUCUUCUCUCUAUCUCUCUGCGUUGUUGGCUAGGACUAGGGAGCUAGAGUCCUGUCUAUCAUCUGCUGAAGAGUUUCAUAUGAUUCUUAAAUCCAAACAGAGCAAAAUGAAAGACGAAGUACAGACAGUUGACAUUUAUAAAAUAAUACUUUUUUAUUGCUUAUUUGAAUAAAUACUAUUUCAAAGUGAUCAAAUAACAUGGUAGCUACAUCGUAAUACUAGAUUGUCAGGAGACUUUACCUGAAACGCUGCAGUCACCUCUGUAGCUGAUCAAAACCUAGAUGACCUCGUUCCAAUGCUAGAUUAUCACGUGGUGCCAACAGCACCCUCUGCAGUUGUCUGGUGUAGUGUUGCUGCCCUUCAGGGAAGGCAGUAAGUUGUAUAGUUAUCUCCUGAUGGGGCAAAAUCACUACCCUGAAACCACACAACCUACUACCUCACCCCGUGCGAACAUCAGAGAGGCAGAUCCCUUUCAUGGCAAAAUAAUAAAUACAUCAUACAAACAAAAGUAUUGAAAUGAACAAAGAGCCAUACCAAAACAGAACCGAAUGAUGCAUAGAUGCCAUAUGAAUGACAUUACAAGCAUGUUAUCAUCUUGAAUUGGUUCAUAGUACAUAUUCCCAUCGAGGUCCGGGUGGCGGGCGCGCUGCAGAGAUGAUGGAUGAUAUUACAGCCACUUCAGGAAAGACAGUAAGUUGUAUAGUUAUCUGACAGGAAGGGUAUGACCCUAAAACUAUACAACCUACUACCUCACCCCAAAGGACCAUCACAGACCCGGCGGCCUACACUGGUACUCCAGUACCUUAGUCCCAGUCAACCAGGUCAGGACAACUUGUUUUCAUUUUUUUUAAAAGGAGAUGAGAGUUUGGAUCCACUAUUGUAAUUUCUCGAUUUAUUUUUGGACAGGACAGAUGUUAAGUCCAAAUCAAAUGUAUUUAUAAAGCCCUUCGUACAUCAGCUGAUAUCUCAAAGUACUGCACAGAAACCCAGCCUAAAACCCCAAACAGCAAGCAAUGCAGGUGUAGAAGCACGGUGUCUAGGAAAAACUCCCUAGAAAGGCCAAAACCUAGGAAGAAAGGAAGAGAGGAACCAGGCUAUGAGGGGUGGCCAGUCCUCUUCUGGCUGUGCCAAGAUGUUCAAAUGUUCAUAAAUGACCAGCAUGGUCAAAUAAUAAUAAUCACAGGCAGAACAGUUGAAACUGGAGCAGCAGCACGGCCAGGCGGACUGGGGACAGCAAGGAGUCAUCAUGCCAGGUAGUCCUGAGGCAUGGUCCUAGGGCUCAGGUCCUCCGAGAGAGAGAAAGAAAGAGAGAAAGAGAGAAUUAGAGAGAGCAUACUUAAAUUCACACAGGACACCGGAUAAGACAGGAGAAGUACUCCAGAUAUAACAAACUGACACAUAAACUACUGCAGCAUAAAUACUGGAGGCGGAGACAGGAGGAGUCAGGAGACACUGUGGAGAGACAGACAGAGAUGGUUACUGAAAGUAGUUCAGGGCAAAGGCAGUCGGUCACCAAGGGGGCAUGUGUGGUCCUGUACCAGAGAAGACAGCUUCAACACACCUCAGAAGACCCAGAACAAUCGUUAGGAUUGAAGCAUAAACACACAAUCACAGAGAGAGAGAGAGAGAGAGGGGGGAGAGAGAGAGAGUAGGAGAGACAGAGAGAGAGACAGAGAGACAGAGAGUAGGAGAGAGAGAGAGAGAGAGAGGGAGAGAGAGUAGGAGAGACAGAGAGAGACAGAGAGUAGGAGAGAGAGAGAAGAGGAGAGAGAGAGAGAGAGAGAGAGAGAGAGAGAGGGGGUAGAGAGAGAGCGAGAGAGAGAGGGGGGUGGACACUGGCCUAUCGCCCCCUCCCUCCCUCCUCCUCUCUCCAUCAGGCUCUAAGCAGCUUGUCAGGUAGCAGCAUCUGAAAGGACCUAAUAGGAAAAAUGUAUUACUUGUAGAAAGGGGAAAACUUAGACUUGAUAUUUGGCUUCUUGCAACCAAAUGUAAGAACAAGGUAAUUUUAAAUGAGUUGUUCCCUCAAUCAAGUGCCCGGUGAAAUGAAAAUAAAAUUAUUUUAAAUUUUUUUUUAACCUUUAUUUACCUAGGCAAGUCAGUUAAGAACAAAUUCUUAUUUUCAAUGACAGCCCAGGAACAGUGGGUUAACUGCCUUGUUCAGGGGCAGAACAACAGAUUUGUACCUUGUCAGCUCAGGGGUUUGAACUUGCAACCUUCCAGUUACUAGUCCAACGCUCUAACCACUAGGCUACCCUGCCACCCCAAAUUGGUGUGUUGAUGCAGAAGUAUACACCCAAGUACGCACAUACAUUCUCUCAUUCACUUCACAGGGCCUGCUGUCAAGUCAUUCAAUCACAUUGGAUAGUGCUCCUCUGCUACUAUAUCCCCUAGGAGCAGGAGAGGACAGUACAGAGAGUCUUGAGAGGCCCAUUGUGUCGGCUCAGUAUUAAGGAGGAUUCUGUUACCUGCAUUAUUAAACAUAGCUUUGCUUACUGUUCUGGUAAGUGGAUCACUGGAGGCUUGGCUUCUAGGUACAAACACACACAUGGACACACAUGGACACAAAGACACAUGGACACACACACUUUAAUACAUGUUUACUGGAAAGGAGCGGUUUGGGUUCACGAGGUGAAAACACUUGACCUUAGCUUGCUGAUUGGACAUUAUCUCCCAAUAUGGCAGACGGCUGUAGAGUUAUGAUCCAUAGUUGACACUAUGCUGGUAAAGGAAUUCCUUUGAACAUGGACCAGCUGACAACAUCCAGUGAGAUGCAAACACACACAUACCCACACACAUGCCCGCACCAGGGUUCAGAUUUUCAUACCAUCAUACCGUUUCUGUACCAUUACUGGUACAGAAUAUAUAUACCAUAUAUACAUAUAUACCAUAUAUAUAAGGUAUUACCUAAUGUGCAAACAAGGGGCGCUAUUUUGUUUUUAAAAAACUGCACAAAACUAUUAAGGCAACAGGGAUCUUGAUCCAGGAGAGGAUUGAAUGUGUCUGCUGUAACCAAGAAGCUUGAUCCGGACAUCUAACCACUUAGCAAGUUAGCAAACCAAAUGCAUAGCUAGAGGCCUGAGCUGGAUAUCAUUUAUUUGAUACAUCUUAGAUUUCUUAUAGUUAUAUAGUUAUACUUAACCAAAGCAGUGGCUGUCUACAGACAGAGGCACACAGACCUUCCUGCCCUCCAUACUGUACACAGUACCUCCCUACACGCCUGCACACAUGCACACACACACACACACACACACACACACACACACACACACACACACACACACACACCCUCUCCUCAAACGUACACCCCUCUCUGCAUUCCCCCUGUCAGAGCUUCUGUAGACCGGUGUGUGUGUGUGUGUGUAGCCCAGAGAGGUAGCCAGGUGCAGACAGGAGGAAUCCAGACAGACACGUCAGAGCGUUUAAAAAGGGAAGCAUGGCUUCUUAGCCCCCUGGGUUAACGGAGGGAGCAGGCAUGGACAUCUAUUCAUACCAGGUUUAGAGAGGGAGACGCAUAGCGCAGGGAGCAGGUUGGCAGACCAGGUCCAGUUACACAUGGGGGGUUCUGGUCAAAGUCAGACAAGCUGACCUCCCUAUAACCUCUGGUACUGAUAUGGGCCUCGAGAGGCGUCCUGGUGUGUAUGCUGUGCAUGUUGACUGUCUAUGGAGUGAUAUUCAGCUGUGCAUGUUGACUGUCUGUGGAGUGAUAUUCAGCUAUGGAGUGAUAUUCAGCUGUGCAUGUUGACUGUCUGUGGAGUGAUAUUCAGCUAUGGAGUGAUAUUCAGCUGUGCAU
ensembl:lncRNA